rnacentral:rRNA from 1 species
AUUGAACGCUGGCGGCAUGCCUUACACAUGCAAGUCGAACGGCAGCACGGGAGCAAUCCUGGUGGCGAGUGGCGAACGGGUGAGUAAUACAUCGGAACGUGCCCAGGAGUGGGGGAUAGCCCGGCGAAAGCCGGAUUAAUACCGCAUACGACCUACGGGUGAAAGCGGGGGAUCGCAAGACUUCGCGCUAUUGGAGCGGCCGAUGGCAGAUUAGCUUGUUGGUGGGGUAAAAGCCUACCAAGGCGACGAUCUGUAGCUGGUCUGAGAGGACGACCAGCCACACUGGGACUGAGACACAGCCCAGACUCCUACGGGAGGCAGCAGUGGGGAAUUUUGGACAAUGGGCGCAAGCCUGAUCCAGCCAUGCCGCGUGCGGGAAGAAGGCCUUCGGGUUGUAAACCGCUUUUGUCAGGGAAGAAACGGUCUAAUCUAAUAAAUUGGACUAAUGACGGUACCUGAAGAAUAAGCACCGGCUAACUACGUGCCAGCCGCCGCGGUAA